rnacentral:rRNA from 1 species
UACAGAGGGUGCGAGCGUUAAUCGGAAUUACUGGGCGUAAAGCGUGCGUAGACGGUCAUGUAAGUCGGAUGUGAAAGCCCCGGGCUCAACCUGGGAAUUGCAUUCGAGACUGCAUGGCUUGGGUGCGGAAGAGGGAAGCGGAAUUUCCGGUGUAGCGGUGAAAUGCGUAGAUAUCGGAAGGAACACCAGUGGCGAAAGCGGCUUCCUGGUCCGACACCGACGUUCAGGCACGAAAGCGUGGGGAG